GUAUGUAUGUAUGUAUGUAUGUAUGUAUGUAUGUAUGUAUGUAUAUAUGCACGUAUCCACACAGGUACCACAGUUGGCCUGCAGUUUGGAUGCGACCAGAACCGGCUAACCGACUUGGCCACCAGAACUGCAGUAUGUAUGUCUGCACCCAGCUAACUAACUUGGCCUCUUCAACUGCAGUAUGUAUGUAUGUAUGCACGUAUUCACACAGGUACCACAGUUGGCCUGUUGAACUGCAGUUUGGAUGCAACCAGAACCGGCUAACCGACUUGGCCUGUUGAACUGCAGUAUGUAUGUAUGUAUGUAUGUAUGUUUGCACCCAGCUAACUAACUUGGCCUCUUCAACUGCAGUAUGUAUGUAUGUAUGUAUGCACGUAUCCACACAGGUACCACAGUUGGCCUGCAGUUUGGAUGCGACCAGAACCGGCUAACCGACUUGGCCACCAGAACUGCAGUAUGUAUGUCUGCACCCAGCUAACUAACUUGGCCUCUUCAACUGCAGUAUGUAUGUAUGUAUGUAUGUAUGCACGUAUCCACACAGGUACCACAGUUGGCCUGCAGUUUGGAUGCGACCAGAACCGGCUAACCGACUUGGCCACCAGAACUGCAGUGUGUAUGUAUGUAUGUAUGUUUGCACGUAUCCACACAGGUACCACAGUUGGCCUGUUGAACUGCAGUGUGGAUGCAACCAGAACCAGCUAACUAACUUGGACUCUUGAAGUGCAGUAUUUGUAUGUAUUACGUAUAUAUAUUUAUGUAUUUGUGCACCCAGCUAACUAACCUGUCCUGUUGAACUGCAGUGUGGAUGCAACCAGAACCAGCUAACUCACCUGUCCUGUUGAACUGCAGUUUGGAUGCGACCAGAACCGGCUAACCGACUUGGCCACCAGAACUGCAGUAUGUACCUUUUAAAGACGCGCAAAGAUGGAUACCUUCAUGUGGAGUUGUUUUUAAUCAUCCAUAUUCAUUCAACCACUUAUUUGUUCUUAUCCUUAAGGUAAGAGGUAAGGUAAGGUAAGCCUUUUUACUGGGUAAAAGCACAGACUUUGAAAACUUGCCAUGGGGAUAAACGUUGUCACACAAGUUAACCACUGUAAAAAAACAAAAAAGGCAAACUAUUUAAACGUAAGGUCACACAAGUGUCAAAAGAAUUUAAACACACUCACUGCGCAGUUUGUGUAAAAGGGGAAAAAUUUCUUGUGUAUGGUGUUUUCAAAAAGUAUAACAGAAACUUGUCACAAAUGUAUGAAAUAACUUCUUAACAAGAGCUCUUGUGUGUGUCAAAAUCAAAACAAAAAUCAAAAUGUGCAAACUUCACAAAAGCAAAAGGUGCAAAACAUUGUUGGGACAAGUGUUAAAAGGUUGGUCACACAAGUUAACCACUGUAAAACUGGAACAAAAUGUGUAUACUGUGUCUGAAGGUUUAAAAAAAAUAAAGAGGUCUUGUGUGUGUGUGUGUGUG